AUGGCCUGGACUCCUCUCCUCAUCAUCCUUACUUUUUUCAAAGGGUCUGUUUCUCAGCCUGUGUUGACUCAGUCACCAUCUUCAUCUUCUUCUCUGGGAAAAUCAGUCACACUUACCUGCACACUGAGCAGUGGCUACGAUAAGUAUAAUGUCGACUGGUACCAGCAAAGCUCUCAGAAGACUGUACAGUUUUUGAUGCGAGUAGGCACUACUGGUAAUGUAGUAUCCAUAGGAAGUGAGACUCCUGAUAGAUUCUCAGGGUCUGGCUCUGGACUCGUUCGAUAUCUCAGCAUCCAGAAUGUCCAGGAUGAUGAUGAGAAUGUCUAUUACUGUGGAUCAGAUCAUGGCAGUGGAAGCAACUAUGUGUAA